UCAACGGAAGCGGUUACAUUGUUAAACGGGAGCGUACCUGUUAGUAAAUAGGUGCGCUCCCGUUAAUCAAUAGAUACGUAUCGGUUGA
rnacentral:miRNA from 1 species